rnacentral:tRNA from 1 species
GUGGUUGUGGCUCAGUGGUAACGCGCUUGCCUAGCAUGCAUGAGGCACUGGGUUUGAUUCUCAGCACCACA